GAGAGUCUGAACCAGCCAAGUAGCGUGAAGGAUGACUGCCCUAUGGGUUGUAAACUUCUUUUAUAUGGGAAUAAAAUGUUCCACGUGUGGGAUUUUGUAUGUACCAUAUGAAUAAGGAUCGGCUAACUCCGUGCCAGCAGCCGCGGUAAUACGGAGGAUCCGAGCGUUAUCCGGAUUUAUUGGGUUUAAAGGGAGCGUAGGUGGAUUGUUAAGUCAGUUGUGAAAGUUUGCGGCUCAACCGUAAAAUUGCAGUUGAAACUGGCAGUCUUGAGUACAGUAGAGGUGGGCGGAAUUCGUGGUGUAGCGGUGAAAUGCUUAGAUAUCACGAAGAACUCCGAUUGCGAAGGCAGCUCACUGGACUGCAACUGACACUGAGGCUCGAAAGUGUGGGUAUCAAACAGGAUUAGAUACCCUGGUAGUCCACACAGUAAACGAUGAAUACUCGCUGUUUGCGAUAUACAGCAAGCGGCCAAGCGAAAGCAUUAAGUAUUCCACCUGGGGAGUACGCCGGCAACGGUGAAACUCAAAGGAAUUGACGGGGGCC
rnacentral:rRNA from 1 species